rnacentral:RNase_P_RNA from 1 species
CAAGUAGGACAAAUGAUCGCAGCCGUCAUCGUCUGCCUUAGCAGACGGUAAGCGGAUGAGGAAAGUCCGGGCUUCACAGGGCAGGAUGCCGGAUAACGUCCGGUGGAGGCGACUCCAAGGCCAGUGCAACAGAAAUAUACCGCCCAAGUUCAGCUUUGCUGAAGCUUGUGGUAAGGGUGGAAAGGCAGCUUAAGAGACUACCGCCUGCACGGUAACGGGCAGGGCACAUGUAAACCCCAUCCGAAGCAAGACCAAACAGAAAGCGUUUAAACCGGCCCGGUGAGCUUUCAGGUGGGUCGCUGGAUGCUGCCGGCAACGGCAGUGCUAGAUAGAUGAUCAUUCACGACAUAACCCGGCUUAUCGUCCUGCUUGAUAU